CAGGCCUAACACAUGCAAGUCGAACGAGACCUUCGGGUCUAGUGGCGCACGGGUGCGUAACGCGUGGGAAUCUGCCCUUGGGUUCGGAAUAACAGCGAGAAAUUGCUGCUAAUACCGGAUGAUGACGUAAGUCCAAAGAUUUAUCGCCCAGGGAUGAGCCCGCGUAGGAUUAGCUAGUUGGUGGGGUAAAGGCCUACCAAGGCGACGAUCCUUAGCUGGUCUGAGAGGAUGAUCAGCCACACUGGGACUGAGACACGGCCCAGACUCCUACGGGAGGCAGCAGUGGGGAAUAUUGGACAAUGGGCGCAAGCCUGAUCCAGCCAUGCCGCGUGAGUGAUGAAGGCCUUAGGGUUGUAAAGCUCUUUUGUCCGGGACGAUAAUGACGGUACCGGAAGAAUAAGCCCCGGCUAACUUCGUGCCAGCAGCCGCGGUAAU
rnacentral:rRNA from 1 species